CAGCAGCCACGGGAAUACAGAGGGUGCGAGCGUUAAUCGGAAUUACUGGGCGUAAAGCGCACGCAGGCGGUCUGACAAGUCAGAUGUGAAAUCCCCGGGCUUAACCUGGGAACUGCAUUUGAAACUGUCAGGCUGGAGUCUUGUAGAGGGGGGUAGAAUUCCAGGUGUAGCGGUGAAAUGCGUAGAGAUCUGGAGGAAUACCGGUGGCGAAGGCGGCCCCCUGGACAAAGACUGACGCUCAGGUGCGAAAGCGUGGGGAGCAAACAGGAUUAGAUACCCCUGUAGUCCCUGUCUCUUAUAC
rnacentral:rRNA from 1 species